GCCUACGGGAGGCAGCAGUGAGGAAUAUUGGUCAAUGGGCGGAAGCCUGAACCAGCCAAGUCGCGUGAGGGAUUAAGGCCCUAUGGGUCGUAAACCUCUUUUGUCAGGGAGCAACGCCGGCUACGUGUAGCCGGACUGAGAGUACCUGAAGAAAAAGCAUCGGCUAACUCCGUGCCAGCAGCCGCGGUAAUACGGAGGAUGCGCGCGUUAUCCGGAUUUAUUGGGUUUAAAGGGUGCGUAGGCGGAAUGACAAGUCAGCGGUAAAAUCGCGGGGCUCAACCUCGCUCCGCCGUUGAAACUGGCGU
rnacentral:rRNA from 1 species